GUUUGCAAUUACCUGAGGUCAACGUUGGUAUAAAACAGACAGGGCAUGGAAAGCCUGACGAUGGUUUCCAAUUACCUGAGGUCGAUGUCGGUAUAAAACAGACAGGGCAUGGAAAGCCUGACGAUGGUUUGCAAUUACCUGAGGUCAACGUUGGUAUAAAACAGACAGGGCAUGGAAAGCCUGACGAU